AACCAGGAACUGGCAGAGUAUUUCAGGAAGAUCUCAACGGGAGACUGCAGUUAUUGGCUUAGGGAAUUCCUGGAACACUGGGAGAACAUGCUGCUCCCAGAGCCCACAGAACCACUAAUAAUGGCCCCAGAUAUCAGCCAGUCUGCAUCCAUCCGUUUGGUCACUUGCAUUAUCCUAUUGAUCAUCACCCAGUUAGUUCUAGUUGGUUCAUCGUCAUGAAUCUUAUGAAGAAAUCAGGGACCACAGCAGGAGAGAGAAAUGUGGACACGGAUAGAAGAGAUGCAUACAGGAAGACAAGACCCACGGGAAGAGUGUCAUGGAAGGACAGAAAUAGACAGGAGCUCCGCAACGCCAAGGGUUUCCAGGAACCACAGAGCUGUGCACGGUACCUCGGUCGAGUCCGCCUCUUUGCGGCCCCAUAGACUGCAGCCCACCAGGCUCCUUUGUCCAUGGAUUCUCCAGGCAAGAAUACUGGGGUGGGUUGCCAUUUCCUUCUCCAUGCAACCACCAGUAGUCAGGAAGAGACAAGAUGGAGCCUCCCUUAGAGCCUUCAGAGAGGGCCCUACUGACACCUUGAUUUCAGACUUCUAAC